UGGGCCGGCCAGACGGUCGCGUCAUCCUUCUUCGGAGGGGUGCCGAGGAACGUCCGGGCUCCACAGAGCAGGACGGUGGGUAACACCCACCCGGAGCAAUCCGCGAGAAAGUGCAACAGAGAGUAGACCGCCUCCAGUCCUCGGACUGGCGGUAAGGGUGAAACGGUGGUGUAAGAGACCACCAGGGGCCCGAGUGAUCGGGCUCGCUGGGUAAACCUCGUCCGGAGCAAGGUCAGACAGGGAACGCUCGAGGCUGCUCGCCGAGUUCCCGGGUAGACCGCUAGAGGGCUGCGGCAACGUAGUCCCGAGAGAGAUGGCCGUCACGGAUGCCGCGGCAACGCGUCGUCCGGACAGAACCCGGCGUAUCGGCCGGCCCGUUUG
rnacentral:RNase_P_RNA from 1 species